CUUCCUUUUUUGAAAUCUGCGCGGGCCCUGCUGUCAGUGGAGGGUGUGGAGCUCCUCGUUUUUCUCACUCUCAUUCUACGGGCGCUGCUCGUGCGUGUAUUUCAUACAUUGAGGUUCCUAAUGCGGGCGAGCAGCCUUCAAAUUGGCUGUGGGCCAAUUUGAUAGUUAAGGCAGAAUUACACGUUUCCUGUUGAGAGCACAGAGAACUUGAGGACAGACCAGGACUUAAUGAUGGUUGUGACCCUGUGCUACUCCCUUGAGCCACCCCUCGGAGGCAUGUUCUUGAUAUGGGGAUAUGCCUAAUGGCUAGUUGUAAGCCUUGUUAUGGGACUAGAGCUUAACUGGAAAUCAGUCUUGGUGACCAAGAAUUAGCAGAAACGUUCUCAGUAAUCCUAAACGUCUACUGUGGUACAGAGUUUUCUUCCACAGUUCCUCACAAGCCUCGUUAGGGCACUUCUCUCCCAGGCACGAGGCAGAGUUCCUUUAGCUAAAUUCUACUCUGUGUACCUUGGUGUUUCCUAAGCCAGUUUAUUAUUAAUACAUCAUAGCAUCAAUUUUAUUACUUUGAGGUUCCUCUGAGUUCAAUAACCACCCAAAUGAUGGAGCAGAAAUGAUCUGACUCCUGAAAGUUGCCCUUUGACCCCCACAAUGUGCUGUGGCAUGGGCACAUGCUAAAGGCCAGUGAACUUUAAUACUGUGAGUCUUUUGGCCAGCAUUUUGCUCAAUAACAAAACUAGGAAAUGGCAUUUAACGUGAAAAUGGUGAAACUUCUGCAAGUCAUGGGUCAGUCUCUUGUUAAGAGUCCCGUGACUCCUAUUGAUGAGUAAAGACCCACAUCCCUUAUCUCUCUUCAUGUAAUUCAUGUAGUAAGAGAAUGAUUUUUCACACAUUUGUGGUUUGUGUGUGUGUUCAUGUGGGAGUACAUAUGUGUAGAGGUGAGCAUGUACUUAUGCGUGUUUAUAGGUAGAGACCCAAAGUUGGCAUCAGGUAUAUUUCUCAGCUGCUCUGCAGUUUAUUUACUUGGUAAGCUCUUACUGAGCCCCAGACUCACUGACUCCAGCUACUCUAGCUGGACAGCUUGCUCUGAGGAGCCCUUCUCUUUGCCUCCAGAGUGCUGACAUGACAGGUGGCUGCUGUGACAGCUUAUCUUUUUACAAGAGUUCUGAGAAUCAGAACUCUGGUCCUCAUACUUGUAUGAUAAGCGAUUUAUCCAUUGUGCCAUCUCCCUGUGCCAUCUCCCUGCAUAAAGCUUAUUUUUUAAACACUUGUGAUUUCUCUACUUUAAGCAUAAAAACAAUACGUGUUUGUUGUAGUUGUUUUAGAUGUCUUCCUCAAAUUUCUAGCCAAGGCAAAUCAGCCUUGCUUACUUCUUAUUAUGAUUAUAUCCAGGUUCUAUGAUUUGUUACAAAUGAAAUUUAUUCUGUUUUGUAGCUGUGAAGAUUUUAAAAGGAUACACUAUUUAAAUUGUGAAAGGUUGCCCCUGUAUUUAUGACGGAAAUGUUAGUCCCUAAACUUUAACAAUGAUCAACUAAGUUGUCUAGGAAGUAACUAGCUGGGCUGGAGAGCUGAGUAGUUGGUAAUUGCCGAUCUGGAUCCAGUCCCCAGCAGAAAUGGAAAAGCCAAGUGCAGUGGUAGCACCUUAAUCCAGAGCUGAGGGCGGAGCCAAGUCAGGAGGCGCGCUGGGGCUGGCUGUCUCUCACAGUGAGCUCCAUCCAGGUUCACGAGAGACCUGGCAGAGACUGAGGAAGGAAGACACCUGACUGACCUUUGGACUCCACAUGUGUACAUGUAACCUUGCACAUGCAUGCCCCAGGCUCGUCCAACACACUCACACACACACUCACACACACACACACAGAGGGGACUUUGUAGACAGGAACUCUGUGUACAUGUUUCUGUUUUAAAAUGUCAUGGGAUUUCAAGAAGCAUGUGGAGGCUUGAGAGUUAAGGAACUAAACUAAAAGGGAACUGACAACCUUACUGUUGAAUAUAUGUCCAAAAUCUCAGCCUGUUAACUACAGGGUUACAGAAAGGAAGGCAUGGCAUAAGGUUUAGAAUAAGAGACAAAAUAUUAAUUUCAGGUUUACAUAGAAUUCUAAAGGUAUGCAAAAUACCCCACAGGCUGAAACAGACUGAGAGAGUUAGUCCAGUUAGUCCUCACUGAAUUCUUGUGAAAGCUUUGUUUGCCUGCUAUUUGUAUGACAUCACUCCAGAUGAAAUUGCUUUUUAAAAAAAAAUAUUUUUGAUAUCAGAUAUGUGUUCUACGAUCCAACACAAACGACAUUCCUAGAGUAGCUGUUGUACAGGACCCCAGACCUUAGCAAACCGAUGCCAUAAUGCAAUUCAGGUUGUGAAACUCGGCACAUCCUAGCACCAGUCAGAAGGGAAACAAAGACCUAAUCCAUCCAAGACUUAGUUCUGAGAAAGGCUCUAAAUGCACUAACCUUGCUUUUGGCUUUUGUAGUUCUGCUUCUAGCUAAAUGUCCUUACUAACUGAGGUUUGUCAACUCAAGAUAUGGUUUUGUUAUUAAAAGCUCACUCUGAGAAACCUAAAUGUUACACUGGGAUCCCAAACACCCAGUAUAAUUGCCACUAAUAAAGACUUUUCUUAACCCCA